rnacentral:sRNA from 1 species
AUUCUUUUAGUAAAUAAUCGUGUAGUUAAUAUGGAGAGAUUUUGGGAAGAUUGUUAAAUAUCAAAUAUUUAAUUCGAAGAUUUUUUUUUUAAUUAUCAAAAACAAACAUUAAAAUUCAGUGGCAGCCAUUGUAAAUAAGUCUCAACUAUAGGAUUUAUUUCAUAAAAUGGCUGCAAAAAUGUAUAUAUAGAUAUUAUGAUUUUUCAUUUUAAGUUUUUUUCCGUAAUAUACCAUCCCAUGUUAUUAUCCACCCAAACUCGUCCCACAAUAUAACCCCGUCCCAUGAAAUUAAACAUAAUUUUGUCAUUUUCUUAUAAAUUUCAAAUAUUUAUAAAAUUUGAAACUUCAAAAUAAAUUUAAUAUCGAUAUGA